GUUGACCUCGGAUCAGGUAGGAAUACCCGCUGAACUUAAGCAUAUCAAUAACGGAGA
rnacentral:rRNA from 1 species